CCUACGGGAGGCAGCAGUGGGGAAUAUUGCGCAAUGGGCGAAAGCCUGACGCAGCGACGCCGCGUGAGGGAUGAAGGUCUUCGGAUCGUAAACCUCUGUCAGCAGGGAAGAACGGUCACUGUGCUAAUCAGCAGUGAAUUGACGGUACCUGCAAAGGAAGCACCGGCUAACUCCGUGCCAGCAGCCGCGGUAAGACGGAGGGUGCGAGCGUUAAUCGGAAUUACUUGGCGUAAAGCGCUCGUAGGCGGUAUGUCAAGUCAAGGGUGAAAUCCCCGCGCUCAACGUGGGAACUGCCUUUGAAACUGGCAAACUGGAGUGUGUGAGAGGAUAGUGGAAUUCCAGGUGUAGGAGUGAAAUCCGUAGAUAUCUGGAGGAACAUCAGUGGCGAAGGCGACUAGCUGGAACAUAACUGACGCUGAGGAGCGAAAGCGUGGGUAGCAAACAGGAUUAGAUACCCGGGUAGUC
rnacentral:rRNA from 1 species